rnacentral:rRNA from 1 species
AUGAACGCUGGCGGCGUGGAUAAGGCAUGCAAGUCGAUCGUGAACUCCGCGCAAGUGGAGUCGAACGAGGCGAACGGGGUAGUAAUACGUAGGAACUUCCCCCAGAGACGGGAAUAACCCAUCGAAAGAUGGAAUAAUACCCGAUAGUUCCCUGAGGCGUAAGCUGAAGGGUAAAUCACUUAGAUUGGCUCUGGGAAAGGCCUGCGGGCUAUCAGCUAGUUGGUAAGGUAAUGGCUUACCAAGGCGAUGACGGCUAGGGGAAGUGAGAGCUUGACCCCCACCAAUGGAACUGCGACACGGUCCAUACACCUACGGGUGGCAGCAGCCGAGAAUAUUCGACAAUGGGCGAAAGCCUGAUCGAGCGACGCCGCGUGCAGGAUGAAAUCCUUCGGGAUGUAAACUGCUUUUUUGAGGGAGGAACUUAAGUGACUGUACCUCAAGAAUAAGCACUUGCUAACCUCG